rnacentral:snRNA from 1 species
UUUCAGCAUGGCCCCUGCACAAGGAUAACACACAAACUCAUGAAGCUUUCCAUAUUAAA